rnacentral:lncRNA from 1 species
GAACUGGUGCUGGUGGUGGAGUGCUGACUGGUGUCACCGCCGGUGGUGAUGAGGCCGCCGGAGGUGUGGCUGUUGGAGCAGCAGCUUUGGGGGAUGUAGCUGGAGGAGAUGAUUUGGGAGAAGCAACAGGAGCUGGUGUUGUUGGUGUAGUAGGAGGUGCUGCCACCGGAGAUGAAACAGGAGUGGUGGCAGCCGGAGUUGAUGGUGAGGUUGUUGGUGCAGCGGAAGGUGACUGGCCUCCGACGCCGGCGACGAUAAUGCAGAUGAAUGCGAGGGUGAAGAGAUUGUUACGAUCCAUAUUGAAAGUUUGAAAGCACUGUGUGUUUAUUUCUUUGUUUGUUGAGUUGAGAGAGAAAGAGAAGAGUGAGUGAGUGAGAGAGG